AUUGAACGCUGGCGGCAGGCCUAACACAUGCAAGUCGAACGGUAACAGGAAGAAGCUUGCUUCUUUGCUGACGAGUGGCGGACGGGUGAGUAAUGUCUGGGAAACUGCCUGAUGGAGGGGGAUAACUACUGGAAACGGUAGCUAAUACCGCAUAACGUCGCAAGACUAAAGAGGGGGACCUUCGGGCCUCUUGCCAUCGGAUGUGCCCAGCUGGGAUUAGCUAGUAGGUGGGGUAACGGCUCACCUAGGCGACGAUCCCUAGCUGGUCUGAGAGGAUGACCAGCCACACUAGAACUGAGACACGGUCCAGGCGCCUACGGGAGGCCGCAGUGGGGAAUAUUGCACAAUGGGCGCAAGCCUGAUGCAGCCAUGCCGCGUGUAUGAAGAAGGCCUUCGGGUUGUAAAGUACUUUCAGCGGGGAGGAAGGGAGUAAAGUUAAUACCUUUGCUCAUUGACGUUACCCGCAGAAGAAGCACCGGCUAACUCCGUG
rnacentral:rRNA from 1 species